CUUUUCUGGAAUAUGUACGAAGGACGAGUUACUUUACGUCAGUUGGAAUCAAGAGAUCCAAAUUCAAUUGUCGAAUAACCAUUGUUCUUAUUCUUAUUUAUGCUGACAUUAUGGCGGGUUGGCUGAACAAUUGGAAUGGUAGCGACUUCAAUGAAUAAGGUAGAAUAGAGAUGUAAUGGCAGCAACAAGAAGUGAGUUUAAGAAAAGACGCAAACGUGUAAGAUCCAGCAGCUCUGGUUAAAAAAUCUUACGCCUUGCUGGUCCAAGCAGGGUCACUAAGCCCAGCCCCAGACCAAAUAGCAGUGAUAGAAAGACAAGAAGAGAGUCAGUCCUCUAGAGACUGCAGCAAUGAGAGCAAACGCGUCACAGAAACACGAACUAACAAGUCAACUAACACGCAACUCAUUGCGCCAUUUAGACAAUAUUUCGUCAAACAAAAGACCUGCUACUACUUCAAGCAUGAAAGACAAUCUAAAAAGGCCAUCACUCAAGAUGAACAAAGUCAGCUAUCGAGCACAAGCAGAAGAAGAUAGAUUCUAUUGUAGAUAAUGAAAACAGUGCAGUUCCUGCUCCACAAGAUAAAGCAGACUCUGUAGAUGCGAGUCCUGUGUGGCUGAAAUUAAGUUUCAGUGAUGUUCUAUUUGCUGUAUUAUUCUGUACUGUAAUGGUUUCCGUAUUUGCAUUGUUACAGUGGGAUUAUUUGUAAUCACGCGUGUGGAACUUUAUUUUUAUUAGUUCUAUCACUGGUGGCGCUUUCUUAAGGACAUUCUAGUAAAAGUACUGUAUAGUAAUA